rnacentral:rRNA from 1 species
UGGUGGAGUGAUUUGUCUGGUUAAUUCCGUUAACGAACGAGACCUCGACCUGCUAAAUAGUUUGCGAAUUCUUCGGGAUUUGAUUAUUAAAACUUCUUAGAGGGACUAUCGGUGAUUUAGCCGACGGAAGUUCGAGGCAAUAACA